GUGGCUGUGCCUUUGGUGUGUGAUGGCCUUCUCCUCCCUUGUGCUGUUUAACGAGCUCUGCCUUGGAAUUUCUCACCAAGUAUUUGUGCAGAGUUCAUUCCUCCUGCUGCUUUACCUUCAAUCCAGCAUGCUUGCCUGAAGGCCCUCAGGCAGCCCCUGGUUCUGUGCUCUGUGUUUGGCUGGUCAGCGUUCUUCUGCCAGGUGGUCCCCUCCUGCAGUUCAUUACCUGCCUGGGUUAAAGGUAUGUGUCUUCUGUUCUAUGGAAGAAUUUCCUGCCGUUUUCACUGUUUGUUUUCACAGAGCAAGAUUGGGUUUUUCUUCUUGUGCUUUGUACUUAAGGAUACAUCCAAAGUGCCCUGUAGGUUCUUGGCACACAGUGGGAAUUUGGUGUGCUUGUGUGCGUGGGAUCUUGGGUCACACUUAUGGAAGUGUAAAAUCAGCGCUUGGAUUGCUCAGGAUAUGUAAUGGGAAAUGCGUGUUAGGAGAAGUGACUGUGGCUAAGGACUGCUCUCCUGUAGCUCUGCGGCUUUGGCAGAGUGGUUGAAGGGUUUGUGAGAGCAGACCAGGGAAUGGACAGAUCAGCCCCAGGAGGCUGAGCUUUGCUUCUCUUUCCAGAAGGCUGAACCCACUAGUGAAUGUAAAGUCUGUGGCCAGAGUUUUUUUUUGGGGGGGGGGGUUUUGUUUGUUUUGGGGUGGUUUUUUGGUGUUUUGUUUUGUUUAUUUUAUUUCCUUCUCUUGAGGUGACUUGUAAGGGUAGGCCAAGAGCAGAGGCCAAGCUUGUUGGGACCCUGACAGAGAGGGAGAAGCAGCAAAUGGAGUUCGAAAAGUAUUGUCCUUUCUGUACCUGAGAAGCUGGACAAGACCAUGAAAUCAGACCUAUGGUCUUGUUGGAGAGCCCACGGUCCAAGGGAACUCCUGGAUUGCUCCUGAAGCCCUGGCCAGGCUUUGGGCCCAAUCCACGAGGAAGCCGAGCCCGGCUGUUGCCGCACUGGACGUUGUGUCAGCCUGUUGCUGGCACCCAAUUGUCCAAGCUGGGCCCUGUCCCAGCACAGUCGGAAGCCUCUUUGCCUGCGGGUGGACGCACCCAUGGGAAUUCCCGGUUGUGGGAAGAGGCUCUCCAGUGCUUGGCUGGGACAGGGGGUUCCCAGCUCACAGGCUGUGGCUCUGGAGGAUGGUGAAGUCUCAGGGUCCCUGGUGCUGUGUCUCAGUCCCUGCAAGGCCGCUGUCUUUGGUAGCAAUGGUGAGGGGCAUUGCAGGGCUUUGUUGUUUGGAGUUCUUUGCUGCUUUGAGCUCUGGUGGAUGAGGCUGGAUUCCUGAAGCUGGUGUCUGUGUCUUUGCUGCUGCCCCUGUCCCCUGGCCAAACACUUCUACUGUCCAGUACACAUCCUGGGACCUGCAUGGAUGCUGCAUGGAAUAUUUACAGAAAUUUGAUCCUGUGAGUUUUAGGUGAAAACCGUGCGUCUUUUUGAAUCUUGUAGGAGAGCAGGACUGGAAUGUGGCAACUUGGGGGAGUUUUCCCACAGCUGUUUGCAUCUCUGCUGUCCUGUCUUUGUUCUUCCUGCUGUGUUGGAGGUGGGACUCAUUUAUUUGGGUUUUCCUUUUCCAUGCCUGGGGACAUAGGUGAUUUAGGCUCAGCCUGAAGGAGUUUCCCAAUGGAGUUUGUGAUAGCUGCUGUUGGGUUUUUUUCCCCUGGAGCUGGUAUAUUUAACUUUGCUUUCAUGCAAUAAACAGUUGAAAAUUAGCUUCUUAGAGGAAUUGGCAAGAGAAUUAAGCAGCGUUACCCUUCUUAUACUGCUGAGCUCAUUUCUGCUCCAAGUCCCUCAGUACCUCAGGAGUCCAAGGUGUUCAGGUGUGACAGCGGUUGGAAAAACCUGUUGUGUGUGAGGCAGCCUGUUGGGAAUGGUGCUGGGUUUUGGAAUUGGAGGGACUGGCUGGGUGUGGAUCAUGGGAUGUACUGUAGUGAGAGCAGUGUGCUGUGGGGAUGGGCAGGGCCCAUCUCUUCUGUCUGCCAGGGGCAUUGGAAGAAAACCUGCUGUGCAGACUGAGCUGAUUUGGUGCCUUGGCUCUCCUGUUUCCAUAGUUUUUCCCCAGGAGUGGGAAGGAGAAGCUGUUCCUCUACUUGAGAUAAAAGUCUGCCUGGAUUUUUGCCCUCCUCCAGAACUUUUGAGUUCUGUUGGUUCUCCUGACUUGGGCCUCUAGAGGGUGGGGGAAGAGGAUUUUUGUCUCAUUUUGUGCUUCUCUGUUGGUUUCAGCUCUUGCUCGGAAAGUGAACGUAACCUUGUCUUCUCUUAGUCACUGACAAGCUCGUGACAAAGAAGGGGACCCAGAAGUUCUCGGGGCCCUGGCAGCGAGAGCAACAGCAGAUGGUGUUGGAGAGUUUCUGUGAGCCCCUGUUUGGUGUUCCAGGUGCUACAAGGCUUUGGUCAAAUGGCUGGGAGACACUGGACCCUUGAUGAGCAUUGACUGUGCUUGUGGAGGGCCUGGCCACGUGGGCAUUCCUGGGAGGAGGAGG